rnacentral:rRNA from 1 species
UACGUAGGGUGCGAGCGUUGUCCGGAAUUAUUGGGCGUAAAGAGCUCGUAGGCGGUUUGUCACGUCUGCUGUGAAAACUGGAGGCUCAACCUCCAGCCUGCAGUGGGUACGGGCAGACUAGAGUGCGGUAGGGGAGAUUGGAAUUCCUGGUGUAGCGGUGGAAUGCGCAGAUAUCAGGAGGAACACCGAUGGCGAAGGCAGAUCUCUGGGCCGUAACUGACGCUGAGGAGCGAAAGCGUGGGGAGCGAACAGG